UACCGGUCCUGAUGAGGUGGGCUCAGAGUUUUGGAGCCCUUCCUUGGCAAUUGCCAUACUCAAGUGAGAGGCACGAUCAUCAGCAGAGCGGAGCAUGGGGCAGUGAACACACUAUGCUAGAAAACGAAGACCAGAGAGCCGCACCAGGAUCAGAACAAAGGCAGAGGUGUUUUCGUCACGAGGCACUCCAAUGUUUCAGUCCAAGUUCCACCACUGAGGAAUUGAGAGUAUGAGCAAGCUUCACCUGACAUGAGCGUGGUCUCCUGAGCUGGUGAGAAGACCCCAAAGGCCACGCCCCCACCAAGAAGUUCUCCGGGAAGCAGGGAAUGUAGACCUCCCCACCUGCAAUUUCACCAUGCCAGCAAGCACACUUGCCAUGCCAAGCUCAUCUCAGGAGGUCCACCGUGUCGACAUGGAUGGAGCAGAGGACCAGGGAUGGAAAUGGGCAGAGACUAUUCAGUCAAGAAUCCUGAGACAUGCUGAGCUGUGUGAGGCAUGAGGCAUGCCCUGUGCUCUUCUCCCUGUGGCUGUGGGGACAUGCAGAAGGCACAAGGCUGCAGCUUUUGUCCCAUGAGAGUGACUCCGGGAAAUGAAGUCUGAGCAAGAAGAACCCCCCGAGACUGACUAGAUUCUAGUGAAAUGGAAGGACCACUUUAAACAGGAAUUUCUUGCGGCUUCAUCCUGUUCGAUGUAAAUAUUGCAUGUCUUGGUUACUUUUCUAUCACCGUGAAAUAAACACCACGACCAAAGGCAACUUAUGAAGAAGAAGAAGAAGAAGAAGAAGAAGAAGAAGAAGAAGAAGAAGAAGAAGAAGAAGAAGAAGAAGAAGAAGAAGAAGUUGUUUAUUGGGGGCUUGCUUACAGUUUCAAGAGUACAGGACCAUGGAGGGGGGGUGCGGAGCAUGGCAGCAGGCAGGAGUGUUGAUUGAGCUUUA